UUUCCGUAGGUGAACCAGCGGAGGGAUCAUUACCGAGUUUACAACUCCCAAACCCCUGUGAACAUACCUGUUUUGUUGCUUCGGCGGUGCCCUCGCUCUCGCGGCGAGGCCCGCCAGAGGACCCAAACAAACUCUUUGACUUUGAUCUAGGAUUAUACUUCUGAGUGAUACAAAAAAUAAAAUCAAAACUUUCAACAACGGAUCUCUUGGUUCUG
rnacentral:misc_RNA from 1 species